rnacentral:rRNA from 1 species
GAUGAACGCUGGCGGCGUGCCUAAUACAUGCAAGUCGAGCGAAUGGAUUAAGAGCUUGCUCUGGUGGAUUAGUGGCGAACGGGUGAGUAACACGUGAGUAACCUGCCCCGAACUCUGGGAUAACUGCUGGAAACGGUAGCUAAUACUGGAUACGACCAACGAAGGCAUCUUCUGUUGGUGGAAAGAAUUUCGGUUCGGGAUGGACUCGCGGCCUAUCAGCUUGUUGGUGAGGUAACGGCUCACCAAGGCGACGACGGGUAGCCGGCCUGAGAGGGUGAUCGGCCACACUGGGACUGAGACACGGCCCAGACUCCUACGGGAGGCAGCAGUGGGGAAUAUUGCACAAUGGGCGCAAGCCUGAUGCAGCAACGCCGCGUGAGGGACGACGGCCUUCGGGUUGUAAACCUCUUUUAGUAGGGAAGAAGCGAAAGUGACGGUACCUGCAGAAAAAGCACCGGCUAACUACGUGCCAGCCGCCGCCGUAA